rnacentral:rRNA from 1 species
AGUCGCCGCGGGAAUACAGAGGGUGCGAGCGUUAAUCGGAUUUACUGGGCGUAAAGCGUGCGUAGGCGGCUUCUUAAGUCGGAUGUGAAAUCCCUGAGCUUAACUUAGGAAUUGCAUUCGAUACUGGGAAGCUAGAGUAUGGGAGAGGAUGGUAGAAUUCCAGGUGUAGCGGUGAAAUGCGUAGAGAUCUGGAGGAAUACCGAUGGCGAAGGCAGCCAUCUGGCCUAAUACUGACGCUGAGGUACGAAAGCAUGGGGAGCAAACAGGAUUAGAUACCCCUGUAGUCCCUGUCUCUUAUACA